rnacentral:lncRNA from 1 species
UCGUGCCGGGAGGAGGGGUGGAGCCGGAGGAGGAGCCUGGCGGUGCUGCUGCAAGGGAAGUGUAUGAAGAGGUGAGAGGAGACUGUCUUGGGGUUUUACAGGACGGGCUUCUGGUGCUUUGCCAGGCUGGAGUCAAAGGAAAAUUAGGCAGACUCCUGGGAAUAUUUGAGAAUCAAGACCGGAAGCACAGAACAUAUGUUUAUGUUCUGACAGUCACUGAAAUAUUGGAAGACUGGGAAGACUCUGUUAACAUAGGGAGGAAGAGAGAGUGGUUCAAAGUGGAAGACGCAAUCAAGGUUCUUCAGUGUCACAAGCCUGUCCACGCAGAGUACCUGGAAAGGCUGAAGCUGGGGUGUUCUCCGACCAAUGGGAAUUCCACAGUCCCUUCCCUCCCAGAUAACAAUGCCUUGUUUGUGACUGCCGCACCACCCUCUGGGGUGCCAUCCAGUAUAAGAUAGAGAGCUGGGGCCCCUCCCCCACCGUGUCAUGGCACAUGUCAGAGGGAGAGAGGCUUUUUUACUUCUAACACAUCUGACUGCUGCUGGCAGACUCUAGAUUUGCCAUGCAGGGGUUUCAAAUAAUUUGCAUGUAUUUCAGAUGCUUUCAACUCUUUUAAAAUAAAUAACAAAAUAGCAAAAAU